rnacentral:rRNA from 1 species
GAUGAACGCUGGCGGCGUGCCUAAUACAUGCAAGUCGAGCGAACAGACGAGGAGCUUGCUCCUCUGACGUUAGCGGCGGACGGGUGAGUAACACGUGGAUAACCUACCUAUAAGACUGGGAUAACUUCGGGAAACCGGAGCUAAUACCGGAUAAUAUAUUGAACCGCAUGGUUCAAUAGUGAAAGACGGUUUUGCUGUCACUUAUAGAUGGAUCCGCGCCGCAUUAGCUAGUUGGUAAGGUAACGGCUUACCAAGGCAACGAUGCGUAGCCGACCUGAGAGGGUGAUCGGCCACACUGGAACUGAGACACGGUCCAGACUCCUACGGGAGGCAGCAGUAGGGAAUCUUCCGCUAUGGGCGAAAGCCUGACGGAGCAACGCCGCGUGAGUGAUGAAGGUCUUCGGAUCGGAAAACUCUGUUAUUAGGGAAGAACAAAUGUGUAAGUAACUAUGCACGUCUUGACGGUACCUAAUCAGAAAGCCACGGCUAACUACGUG